rfam:Arthrobacter nitrophenolicus strain SJCon contig000077, whole genome shotgun sequence.
CGCGGUCCUCGGUAGUGAUCCCCGGGAAGGCUUCAGCGACUGAAGUCCCGGCCCGUGGGUCUCGAUCGAUGACCGGG